rnacentral:rRNA from 1 species
UGAAUACGAGACGCUAAGGCGUCGAAGUAGUGUAUGUCAUACUUCCAAGAAAAGCUUGCACUGUCAUAGAUAAAAAACGCCUGUACCAUAACCGACACAGGUGGGUAGGUAGAGUAUACUAAGUGGCGCGAGAUAACUCUCUCUAAGGAACUCGGCAAAAUAACUCCGUAACUUCGGGAGAAGGAGUGCCUUAUUUUUAAGGCUGCAAUAACAAGAUCCAAGCAACUGUUUAUCAAAAACACAGGUCUCCGCUAAGUCGUAAGACGAUGUAUGGGGGCUGACGCCUGCCCAGUGCCAGAAGGUUAAAGAAGUUGGUUAGCUUUUGCGAAGCUGAUAACUGAAGCCCUGGUGAACGGCGGCCGUAACUAUAACGGUCCUAAGGUAGCGAAAUUCCUUGUCGGGUAAGUUCCGACCCGCACGAAAGGCGCAAUGAUUUGGAUACUGUCUCGGAGAGGGGCUCGGUGAAAUAGACUUGUCUGUGAAGAUGCGGACUACCUGCACCAGGACAGAAAGACCCUAUGAAGCUUUACUGUAACUUGAAAUUGAAAUUGGACUUUAUUCGCGCAGCAUAGGUGGGAGGCGUUGAUUAUAAUCUCGUGGGAUUAUUGGAGCCAUCAGUGAGAUACCACUCUUGUAAUGUUAGAUUUCUAACUUUGAAUCAUUAUCUGGUCAAAGAACAGUUUCAGGCGGGCAGUUUGACUGGGGCGGUCGCCUCCUAAACGGUAACGGAGGCGUACAAAGGUUUCCUCUGAACGGUUAGAAAUCGUAUCUAGAGUGUAAAGGCAUAAGGAAGCUUGACUGUGAGACCUACAAGUCGAGCAGGGACGAAAGUCGGUCUUAGUGAUCUGACGGUACUGAGUGGAAAGGCCGUCACUCAACGGAUAAAAGUUACUCUAAGGAUAACAGGCUGAUCUCCCCCAAGAGUUCACAUCGACGGGGAGGUUUGGCACCUCGAUGUCGGCUCAUCGCAUCCUGGGGCGGUAGUACGUCCCAAGGGUUGGGCUGUUCACCCAUGAAAGCGGUACGCGAGCUGGGUUCAGAACGUCGUGAGACAGUUCGGUCCAUAUCCGGUGUAGGCGUUAGAAUAUUGAGAGGAGCCUUCUUUAGUACGAGAGGACCGAGAAGGACAUACCUCUGGUGUACCAGUUAUCGUGCCAACGGUAAACGCUGGGUAGCUAUGUAUGGAGUGGAUAACCGCUGAAAGCAUCUAAGUGGGAAGCCCACUUCAAGAUAAG